rfam:Eimeria tenella Houghton genomic scaffold, Eth_scaff1396
AAAACGGGAGAUAGAUAAACCAUGUUACUCUAUCGGUAAAAAGGUACGCCGGGGAUAACAGGUCGUAGAAUUUCAGGAGCUCUGAUCCUUGAAUUCUAUUAACACCUCCAUGUCGGCUCAUCACACCCUUGUACUUGAAGAAGGUUCAAUUAGGAACGAGAGUUCCCCGUGAUAUGUGAUACGUGAGCUGGGUUAAGAACGUCUUGAGGCAGUUUGUUCCCUAUCUGCCAUUUU